GAUGAACGCUAGCGGGAGGCUUAAUACAUGCAAGUCGAGCGAGAAGGUUUUAGCUUGCUAAAACUGGACAGCGGCGCACGGGUGAGUAACGCGUACGCAAUCUACCUCUUAGAGGGGAAUAGCCCUGGGAAACUGGGAUUAAUGCCCCAUGGUGUAAUUGAAUGGCAUCAUUUGAUUACUAAAGAUCCGUCGCUAAGAGAUGAGCGUGCGUGCUAUUAGCUAGUUGGUAAGGUAACGGCUUACCAAGGCAACGAUAGCUAGGGGGCGUGAGAGCGUGAUCCCCCACACGGGUACUGAGACACGGACCCGACUCCUACGGGAGGCAGCAGUAAGGAAUAUUGGACAAUGGGCGCAAGCCUGAUCCAGCCAUCCCGCGUGCAGGAAGACGGCCCUCUGGGUUGUAAACUGCUUUUGUAUGGGAAGAAACCCUGGGAUUUAUCCCGGGCUGACGGUACCAUAAGAAUAAGCACCGGCUAACUCCG
rnacentral:rRNA from 1 species